AAAGAAGGUAAAACACUUUUGUGGACCCCUCCAAACAAAGUAGAACCUUGGCACUGUGCUCACUGUGUCCAAUAGGUUAGUGGUUUCCAUGCUCAGGGACUUACUUCCCAUAUCACCUCUUACAGCAAUCAAGAUUAAACAGGCUUCUUUGAAGGAAGGAGGGUAGAGUGGUCCUAACACAGGGCAAAAUUUGAGGUGAGAGUCAUAUGAUUCAGCUGCAGGGGUGGGGGUGGCCUUUAAAAAAGGCUUUUUCCUAGACUGAAUAAUGUCAAACAUUUUUCAAAAAAUUCAAGACAUAUUGAUAAUUUGUUAAUUAAAUAAAGCACAGGUUACCAUGGGUGUUAAGAGUCAUCUAUUUUGUUUCAGUAUACUCCAACCCAAGUUCAUCUGAAAUAGAAUAACCGUACUUUAUAUGAUGCUUCACAAUCAACAAAACACUUCCACUCGUGUCAUUCAUGGGAUUUAUACACCAAACCUGAAAAGCUGUUAUCACUUAUUUUUUUAUUUGACAGUCUCUUCACCUGCCUACCCUCUCUGAGUAAACAAGCUGAAAUAAAUAGGACGUUAAGAGUUUUAUCAACUCCUUUGCUCUCAGUAAUUUCGUCACAGAAGAAACAAAUCGAAAGAAGGAAAUGGCAUCAGGCAAGUCUGAUCUAGAAAAAUAUGAAAUUCCGAAGAGCAUGAAGACUGAGUCAUACAUUAUGUAGGGGGGAAAAAUGAAGGCUGGUUGAAAUUAGGCAGCAUGAAUCUUGAUGCUUUAAGAAAAUCAGGUAAAACAAAGAAUGCGACCAGAGAUUUCAGAAGAGCAUGUGACUGAGUGACCAAAAACUAUCCAAACUGACCAUGCCAAGCACAAACGUGAUAGUGCUUUUCACUGUAAGUUUGGCUGACCAAAAAGAAAUUACAUUUAGCUAAGUUUGCAAGGCCAGGAAGCAAGCAAUUGCAUAACUGAAUGUGUACCUCCAAUCUUAGUUCAAUUUCAUUUUGAUUAGUCACAGAAGAGUUCGAGAAUAGGCACAAGAUUUUUCUGGCAUAAAUUUCAGAAGCUUUAAAAUAUGCAUGCAUCACUUAGACACAAAAGUGAAAUUAGUCUUCAACUGUCUGGAUUUUAUAUAGCCUGUAUCUUAUUUACUUCUUUGGCAGUAUAGAUACAAAUACAGUGUGUUUUUCUAUAAAUAACCAAACUGUGUUAUGCAUUUUAUAUUCUUCAAGUUUUUAGUCUCUGGAUCAUGAAAUCAAGGACACAUUUCAGAUUCAGCCCCCUGAAGCUAGACCGGAUUACCUGCAGCCAGCAUCUGAUUCAGAAAGCCAGCAGCAGACAGGAUGCUGAGCUGCAUCCUGGCUUCAACACAGCAUUGAGAUGCUUAAGGUGACGUCAACACAGCAUGCAUCCCAUCCAUGCAGGAAAUGUGAUGCUAUAGCAUUGAAUUUCACUUAAAAAAGACCAACAGGACUACUUGCCUCCUUCCCCUCCCCCACGCGCACAUAUUUUAUUUAUUGGUACCUAGAUUGGGACCCAAUUUUUAGAUAAACAUUAUAAUGAAGAAACAAUAUGGAUGGGUUGCAUCACCUGUCAAAGAUUUGAAAAACAGCAAAUGUAUUUCUUCAUUUAAAAAUUCUUAUCAACAAGAAAAUUUCUAAACUACAAAAGACCAAUGUAGCCUGUUCAAUGAUGUUGUUUAGAAGUGAAUGUACACAUUUAACAAUCUAUAUUUUGGUUUAGAGUUAGCUACUCCUUAGCUGAACUAACAGUGUUAUAAGCAACUUAUAAAAUAUUAAGAUGACUUAAACAAAGCACAGAUUUGCUUUAAAAUUUGAAACUUACCCCAUUCUGGUAAUGGCUUGUGAUGUUUGUAUGUCUCAACUGAUAUAACGACAGCCACAUAGAUCAUUAAGAAACUCUGAACAAUUUCAUUGUAUUCAAGGGAAAAUUUUCACUUUAAAAAAUGCAAUGGCAGCUAUCAAAAUGCUAAAACUUUCUAUCAAUAUAGGCCUUUUAUAGCCUAUAGAUGCCCUGUGUUUGCUUUGUCUCACUGUUCCAAAAAAAUAAUGACAAUAAGUUUGAGAAAAUCAAUGAAUUUCAGAAAUAGAGAUUGGUUUCAUCAGCACCAAGGAGGUGGAGCAGGAGCUUCUCCACUGGAAGCUAGGCACCUACUUAGAGAAUCUGGAGACCAGAAUGCUUGGAGGACAGUGCUCUGAAGAGAGGUCUGUGGAAGCACAGCCAAGAGCAAAGGAUUGCAGGGGCCAAAGGAA